GGGGCCGGGCGCGCGCGGCUUUAUCCGGGCGCCUGGCCGGAAGGAAAAAAACAGCUCGGCCGGCGUAUCUGUUUUUCUCUUGGCGGGGGACGAAAGAACGACGAUCGGCGAAUCCCCGCCCGGCUAGCUAGUGGCGGACGCGGCCGGCGCCGUUGCGGUCCCAAGCUUCGACGACGGUCUCGCCAGGCAGGCAGGAAGGCGAGAGGCUGAAUUUCGAACAAUUCAUCCUACACGAUGGCAUGGCACAGCCGCCGCACAGGCGAUGCUGGAGAAUUUCAUGAGCUAACGGAAUCGAGGUGUUCUUUUUCUCGGUGGAGAUAAUUGGCGCCUCGGUCUUCGCAAUGGAAACCAGAACGCUACGAUCGAAGGAGAUAAUUGGAUGUGCAGCAGGGGAAAAAAUCAGAACGAUAGGAGUACAUCAAAAUAAGGUCUCAACACUGAAUUUGUCCGUCCAAUUUGAAGUAAAUUGCAACAGGUCUAACUUAUUACCCUGUAUGUGCAAGCUUGGAAGCUCACCGUUUAAUAAGGCUGCAAUCUAAGAUCUCCUAUGGAUAAUGGACCAACUCGAAUCGUACUGGUGGCCUAUGCAUGCUUGCCCUUUACUAUAUCAAUCUACCCGUGCGUUGUAGGUACCUGAAGAAGUUUUGGGAUGACAUCCAAGCCUAUAGGCGAGUGGCUCCCUACCAAGCAUUGAACCUCGAGUCAUUUUCACUGCUGUAUCACAUUUUGUGACACGCUGUUGAGUCAUUUUUACUGUUGUAUCACAUUUUGUGACACGUUGUUGGAUGUAGUACUGAGGUCCUUGUUAAAGCAGUGCCGUCACUAAUUGUUCUAGUUUUAUAUGGGAGUUGUGGAAAGAGCGGGAUGUGAGAGGGUUUGAUUGAUGUUUUUUUUGCCAAAACAUGUGUUGACUGAGAAAACCAAAGA